UACGGGGGGAGCAAGCGUUGUUCGGAUUUACUGGGCGUAAAGGGCGCGUAGGCGGCCAGCGCAAGUCAGUUGUGAAAUCUCCGGGCUUAACUCGGAACGGUCAACUGAUACUGUGCGACUAGAGUGCAGAAGGGGCAACUGGAAUUCUCGGUGUAGCGGUGAAAUGCGUAGAUAUCGAGAGGAACACCUGCGGCGAAGGCGGGUUGCUGGGCUGACACUGACGCUGAGGCGCGAAAGCCAGGGGAGCGAACGGG
rnacentral:rRNA from 1 species